rnacentral:rRNA from 1 species
GAAUUGACGGGGACCCGCACAAGCGGUGGAGCAUGUGGUUUAAUUCGAAGCAACGCGAAGAACCUUACCAGAUCUUGAGAUCCAGAUGAAUGACGGGCAAUGCCGUCAGCCCUUCGGGGCAUCUGAGACAGGUGGUGCAUGGUUGUCGUCAGCUCGUGUCGUGAGAUGUUGGGUUAAGUCCCGCAACGAGCGCAACCCUUGUCCAUAGUAGCCAGCAGUAAGAUGGGCACUCUAUGGAGACUGCCAGGGAUAACCUGGAGGAAGGUGGGGAUGACGUCAAAUCAUCAUGCCCCUUAUGAUCUGGGCCACACACGUGCUACAAUGUCGUAAACAAAGGGACGCAACCCCGCGAGGGUGAGCAAAUCCCAAAAUAACGACCCACGUUCGGACUGCAGGCUGCAACCCGCCCUGCACGAAGCUGGAAUCGCUAGUAAUCGCAGAUCAGAAUGCUGCGGUGAAUACGUUCCCGGGUC